AGUGAACGCUGGCGGUAGGCCUAACACAUGCAAGUCGAACGGCAGCACAGUAAGAGCUUGCUCUUACGGGUGGCGAGUGGCGGACGGGUGAGGAAUACAUCGGAAUCUACUUUUUCGUGGGGGAUAACGGAGGGAAACUUACGCUAAUACCGCAUACGACCUACGGGUGAAAGCAGGGGAUCUUCGGACCUUGCGCGAUUGAAUGAGCCGAUGUCGGAUUAGCUAGUUGGCGGGGUAAAGGCCCACCAAGGCGACGAUCCGUAGCUGGUCUGAGAGGAUGAUCAGCCACACUGGAACUGAGACACGGUCCAGACUCCUACGGGAGGCAGCAGUGGGGAAUAUUGGACAAUGGGCGCAAGCCUGAUCCAGCCAUACCGCGUGGGUGAAGAAGGCCUUCGGGUUGUAAAGCCCUUUUGUUGGGAAAGAAAAACAGCAGGUUAAUACCCCGCUGUUCUGACGGUACCCAAAGAAUAAGCACCGGCUAACUUCGUG
rnacentral:rRNA from 1 species